UGAGUAGGACCAUGGUGCAGAUUCUUCUGCCCAUGAAAUUUUGUAAAGCAGUAGUUUUAGAAAUGAGAAAGAUGAGAGAUAGUAGAGAUGUCACUUCCUUUUAAGUCGGACUUGACAAUGAGGGAAAACAAUUCCUUGUUUUUUCUUAACCAUUUUGUAUAGUAGUAGUAGUAGAAAACUUGGAUUUUCUGCUUGUAAAGUUAGUUAAAAUGACUAACCUCCUGUCAAAUGAAUAUAGCCAAUUUUUAUUCAAGCAAAUUUUUUCAAGUCACUUGAUUGGAAAGACUCAAAAGCCUUUUAUAUGUUCAUGUUUCCUACUUCAGUAGACGAAUGUGCCUGACAUUUUGCAUAAAUGUGCUGCUGGCUCUAUUGACACCAACAAUUAAGUACUACUAUAGCUAUUUACAGCUCUUCGACCCUCCUUUGUGUGUCUGUUAAAACUCCUAAAAGUUUAAAAUCUCCAGAUGCUUUCUUUUGUGUUUUCUGUCUCAAUUUCUAAAUUCAGCAACCGAUGAUUUCUCUCAGAGAAGCAAGGGAAAUGUUUGUUGCUCUACAAAGAUGAGAAAUUCUGUUUUAUUGAGCGAUAGGCCAUAGUUUCGGUGCUCCAUAAUUUGUCCAAACUUUAGGCUACUUUACUCUUCAAUUCCACUAAGCCUAUCAGAGACCAUGUCUUGUAAGUCUAGAGAAAUGCACUAUUCAAAGUCUUUUUGAAUCAUUGCAACUUACUAAACUACUUGUUCUUGGCAGGUGGUUUGUCUUGCAAUCUUUCCAGAUAUUAUUACUUAUUUACGUCCGAGUUAUAAGGUAAUUGAAAUUACACAUGUAAAUAUCUUUACAUAUUUGUGAGCAUGUCACUAUCACUUAAGACCUGCGCUCCGGUAUUAUGGCCUGAGGAAAACUUGUAGGAUCCAUUUGUACAUUUGGAUAUGAAUGACCUAUUACCAGAAACAAUAAUCAAAGUGGUGGCCAAUUAGGGUGGCGUAGGAUUAACCAUUGAGCUUUGUUAUUACUUUCUAAUUGGUUGUCGUAAUUUGCAGCUUCCUUUCAAUCUAUACUGAUCAAGCAUUAACGUUAACUGCGAAGGAAGUCUGGAAAAGGAACAGUUAAUGAUUUCACUUCAUUUAAACUCUUUACAAUUAAUUUUUCAUGUCAUUCAGACUUGUGUUGUUUUGAUUCAUACGUCUCUAAGUUUUCGAUAGACAAAGUCAAUUGCCUGCAAUAAAAUAAUAGUGCUACUCCAAGAUGAGAAUGUUAAAGCUCUAUUCCAUCUCUAAUGAAACAAAUUUCAGUUGCUUAUUUUUCUUCUGCUAUACAAUCUGUUUUGAGCUAUCAUUUACAAAAUAUUGCCAUUUCAUGUCUCAAUAAACAAGAAUCUGUUGAUUUCCACUUUCUUGGUGAAAGGAAGAAGUUGAACAGCAACAUGAAGGAAUUGAGAGGAGCAAUGCUUUGUGAAGAUCUCCAGCAGUUACACCUUUCUUGAUCAGUGACAAGAUGUAGUCCAUGAACGCCGAAUCACAGGGUAAUGUAAUAGGACCACCACUUGGUAGUCCAAACUCUUCUUCGGACAUGCUUAAAAGUUGCCUAAUGACCUCAUUUUCAAGGUAAACCAAGGGAAUGACAAAAUGUGCUUGAUCAUCUGUAUAUACUACAAAAUGACCCUUUUCAACAAUAGAGGUUGAGGAGGUACUACAACUGUCUGCAUCACUACUAUUUCUUGGAAGUGAAAUCCUCUUCCUCUGCUUGACCGCGAACUUUUGCCAUUUCCUUGCCAUUUUGAUGAGCUUCUUAGUACUGAGCAUUGUCUUUCUUUCCAUUUUUCUUUUUCUUGAAAGUUAGGAAGCAAGAAAGUAAACAAGAAAUUUAGAAACUUUUGAUGGCUGAAAAAAUAAUUCUUUUACUUGAUGAUGAAAAAUGUCCAUAGAAAAGGGGGUUAUAUUUAUACAAGAGGUUGUAGACAGGCUUUGAGUUGGAGAUGAAGUUUUGUUACUAACAACCAAAGGCAAAGCCAUGUGCUGAUGCCUGUUGGCUAUGUCGCUAUGGGGCCUUAAAUUUUUGGAUAGAGCUAAGUUUCUUCUUUCUUUACUUUGUCAACGGGGGCAUAUUAGUAAUGAUAUCAGCUCAUACUUGGUUACUUCUCACCGAUGCCAAUAAUUUGAAACCAUUAGAUGAUCAAUUGCUGGUUAGAAGCAAAACCAUGUGCUUCUACCUUCUUGGUCAUGUAGAUAGGGGACCUUUGAAUUCUCAUCUUGGCUAGUUUUGCUAUAAAAGAACAAAUGCAUUAAAGCUGAGUUUAGAGGAAGGACUCUGUAGGAAUAGUUUAGGUUAAUUGGAGUAUGAGAAACCUGCUGGCUGCUGUUAUUCCACAAAUAUGGGACCUACUGCAUUGUGGAUAUCGCUUGUUGUCUAAUUUUUCAGUUCUACUGUAGUAUAAGAACAAACACAGCCAAGCUUGAGUAGGACUAAUAAAAUGUAACAGACAUCAUGAAAGGGGCCUAAGAAUUGUGGUAUCUGGUUAUCCUUCUUUGCUUAGUCUGUGUCACCAUAUCUUUAAGCCAAGUGGUCCAGAAUUAUGUCAUGUCAUGUUAUGUUUCUUUCUCUUGUGGUAUUUCUGUUGCUAUUCCUAUCUGGCAUUCUUUGUCACCUCACCUUUAAACCAGGUGGUCCUGGACUAAAUCAUCAAAUUUAUCCAUUCUUGUGGAUGUUAUUUUAAGGGUGUCUUUUUCUGCUCCAAAUCAUAACAAGCAGUAGGGCCUAGUGUUGUUGUUCAACAAAAUUUAUUGUCUAAGUUAUUUGACAAUAACAGUGUAGGUAAAACCAUGUGAAACUUCAUGUGCCAUUGUCUCUCACAAGUAGCCGCCAAUUUCUCUUAACCACUAAACAUUUGGAUAUGGAAAUUGUCAUAAACUUAUUAUAUAUAAUCAGACCCAAACAUUUCAGCAGAACACAAGUACCCUGACAUUCAAAAAAAAUUCCAUUUUUGUCCAAUUCUCAAAGUUCUUGUUCUUUAUUUUCCUUCAUCAUUUACAGUUACAUCAUAUUCCUUGAGACAAUGGGUAUCAAAGUGACUCCAUUUAUUCAGGCUAGUCGAAUCCUAAGGAGGCCUUCAACAACUGGAGGUGUUCUCAAAGGACAUUGCGCAGUAUAUGCAGGAGAGAGCCAGAAGAAGCGAUUCGUCAUGCCAAUAUCAUACCUGAGCCAGCCUUUAUUUCAAGACUUGUUAGCUCAAGCUGAGGAAGAGUUUGGAUUUGAUCAUUCAAUGGGCGGUCUCACAAUAGCUUGCAAAGAGGAUGUGUUCAUUGAUCUCACCUCUCGCUUGAGGAGAUUAUGAGUAGGACCAUGGUGCAGAUUCUUCUGUCCGUGAAAUUUUGUAAAGCAGUAGUUUUAGAAAUGAGAAAGAUGAGAGAGAGUAGAGAUGUCACCUCCAUUUAAGUGGUACUUGACAAUGAGGGAAACAAAUUCCUUGUUUUUUCUUAACCAUUUUGUAUAGUAGUAGUAGUAGAAAACUUGGAUUUUCUGCUUGUAAAGUUAGUUAAAAUGACUAACCUCCUGUCAAAUGAAUAUAGCCAAUUUUUAUGCAAGCAAAUUUUUUUAAGUCACUUGAUUGGAAGACUCAUAACCUUUUAUAUGUUCAUGUUUCCUACUUCAGUAGAC
rnacentral:lncRNA from 1 species